rnacentral:rRNA from 1 species
AAGUCGAACGGAAAGGCUCCAGCUUGCUGGAGUACUCGAGUGGCGAACGGGUGAGUAACACGUGGGUAAUCUGCCCUGCACUCUGGGAUAAGCCUGGGAAACUGGGUCUAAUACUGGAUAUGACCUUUCUCCUUAUGGGGUUUGGUGGAAAGUUUUUCGGUGUAGGAUGAGCCCGCGGCCUAUCAGCUUGUUGGUGGGGUGAUGGCCUACCAAGGCGACGACGGGUAGCCGGCCUGAGAGGGUGAUCGGCCACAUUGGGACUGAGAUACGGCCCAGACUCCUACGGGAGGCAGCAGUGGGGAAUAUUGCACAAUGGGCAGAAGCCUGAUGCAGCGACGCCGCGUGAGGGAUGACGGCCUUCGGGUUGUAAACCUCUUUCAGCAGGGACGAAGCGUAAGUGACGGUACCUGCAGAAGAAGCACCGGCUAACUAUGUGCCAGCAGCCGCGGUAAUACGUAGGGUGCGAACGUUGUCCGGAAUUACUGGGCGUAAAGAGCUCGUAGGCGGUUUGUCACGUCGUCUGUGAAAUCCUAGGGCUUAACCCUGGACGUGCAGGCGAUACGGGCUGACUUGAGUACUACAGGGGAGACUGGAAUUUCUGGUGUAGCGGUGGAAUGCACAGAUAUCAGGAAGAACACCGAUGGCGAAGGCAGGUCUCUGGGUAGUAACUGACGCUGAGGAGCGAAAGCAUGGGUAGCGAACAGGAUU